rnacentral:rRNA from 1 species
GUGGGGAAUAUUGGACAAUGGGCGAAAGCCUGAUCCAGCCAUGCCGCGUGUGUGAAGAAGGUCUUCGGAUUGUAAAGCACUUUAAGUUGGGAGGAAGGGCAGUAAGUUAAUACCUUGCUGUUUUGACGUUACCGACAGAAUAAGCACCGGCUAACUUCGUGCCAGCAGCCGCGGUAAUACGAAGGGUGCAAGCGUUAAUCGGAAUUACUGGGCGUAAAGCGCGCGUAGGUGGUUUUGUAAGUUGGAGGUGAAAUCCCCGGGCUCAACCUGGGAACUGCCUCUAAAACUGCAUGACUAGAGUACGGUAGAGGGUAGUGGAAUUUCCUGUGUAGCGGUGAAAUGCGUAGAUAUAGGAAGGAACACCAGUGGCGAAGGCGACUACCUGGACUGAUACUGACACUGAGGUGCGAAAGCGUGGGGAGCAAACAGGAUUAGAAACCCGUGUAGUCC